GCCCGGGUGGUGAAACUGGUAGACACAGGGGACUUAAAAUCCCCAGACCGCAAGGUCAUGCUGGUUCGAUUCCAGCCCCGGGCA
rnacentral:tRNA from 2 species